rnacentral:tRNA from 2 species
UGGGAUGUAGCACAACGGUUCAGUGCAGCCGCCUGAUACGCGGCCGACGAGGGUUCAACUCCCUCCGUCCCUACCA